rnacentral:rRNA from 2 species
CACGCCGUAAACGAUGAGUGCUAGUUGUCGGCAUGCAUGCAUGUCGGUGACGCAGCUAACGCAUUAAGCACUCCGCCUGGGGAGUACGGUCGCAAGAUUAAAACUCAAAGGAAUUGACGGGGGCCCGCACAAGCGGUGGAGCAUGUGGUUUAAUUCGAAGCGACGCGCAGAACCUUACCACCUUUUGACAUGCCUGGACCGCCGGAGAGAUCCGGUUUUCCCUUCGGGGACUAGGACACAGGUGC